rnacentral:rRNA from 1 species
UACGGGGGGAGCAAGCGUUGUUCGGAUUUAUUGGGCGUAAAGAGCUCGUAGGCGGCUUGUCGCGUCGUCCGUGAAAACCCACGGCUCAACUGUGGGCUUGCGGUCGAUACGGGCAGGCUAGAGUUCGGUAGGGGAGACUGGAAUUCCUGGUGUAGCGGUGAAAUGCGCAGAUAUCAGGAGGAACACCGGUGGCGAAGGCGGGUCUCUGGGCCGAUACUGACGCUGAGGAGCGAAAGCGUGGGGAGCGAACAGG